UAGCCGUAAACGAUACUCGCUAGGUGUCGGCCACGGUGCGACCGUUGUCGGUGCCGUAGGGAAGCCGUGAAGCGAGCCACCUGGGAAGUACGGCCGCAAGGCUGAAACUUAAAGGAAUUGGCGGGGGAGGCACCGCAACGGGAGGAGCGUGCGGUUCAAUUGGAUUCAACGCCGGACAACUCACCAGGAGCGACGGUUACAUGAAGGCCAGGCUGAUGACCUUGCCUGAUUUUCCGUAGAGGUGGUGCAUGGCGUAGUCGUGU
rnacentral:rRNA from 1 species